GCAGCCCACUCCCUCCUCACUUGCUCUCAUUUCCCACUCUCCACUCCUCUCCACUCCUCUCCUUUGCCUCAUUUCUUUUCACUCCCUACUAUUUCCUCCACUCCCUCACACUCUCCUCCUCCACUUCCCCACGAAAAUGGUGCUCCCCUUGCUCCCAUGGCCGGCCAUAGCCAUGGCAAGCCACCAAGAUGAAGCUCUCCCCCUCCCUCAAGCUCAUCCUCACCAUGAGAGCCUCCCUCUCCUUCUUCUCCCUAACCUUAGAUGGUUUAAUCUCCUCUUCUUCUCCCUCCAUUGCUAAGAUUGGAUCUUGAUGCAGGUGCAUGUUGGUCCAAGCAUGGAGAAGGUUGAGCUAUCCUCAGAUCUGAAGUUCUUGAGCAAAAUCCAAAUCGAGUGGUUCAAAGUUCUGCAGAUAAGUACUGAAAAUAUCUACAACUUGGCGUUGGUCUCAUCCUCAAAUUCGUUACGGAUUUUGCAUGAUAAAUAAAGUUCUGCAAACAUGCAGAAUCAUUGUUUGUUA